AGAAACACAGGAAGUCAAGAUGUAACGCCAUAGUGAUAAGAAGCCCAGAAACUUCUCCGGAAUCGCACCAGAGACCUCAUCCGCAUGGGAAGGACACACACUCAACUCUGUGUUCCUAGCUUAACUUCAUCACAUGACAACUCCAUCCAAGGAAUCUCCAGUCAGCCCGUAAUCUCACACAUCAAAAGAAGAAGAGAGAAAGGUGUCUUAGCAGACUUUUAAGAAACACCUCCAGGGCCACCAAGACGGUAACACAGCUAAUGCUGAGACACUAAAGUACCCACACUUGCUGUCUUACGCCCUCCACGAUUUAUAGAGAGGCCCCCACCUAUGCCCUCAGUGUGUCUUACUUUCCCCAAGCUCCUUCCUUUCCCCUAACCCCUGUGCCUUAAGUGUACUUUAAGAUAACUUUAAUAAAAUCUCCUGUUUCAGACCA